rnacentral:rRNA from 1 species
GCGCGAAAACUUUACAAUGCUGGCAACAGCGAUAAGGGAACCUCGAGUGCCAGGUUACAAAUCUGGCUGUCGAGAUGCCUAAAAAGCAUUUCAUAGCAAGGGCCGGGCAAGACCGGUGCCAGCCGCCGCGGUAACACCGGCGGCUCGAGUGGUAACCGUUAUUAUUGGGUCUAAAGGGUCUGUAGCCGGCCGGAUAAGUCUCUUGAGAAAUCGGGGAGCUUAACUGUCAGGCUUUCAGGAGAUACUGUCUGGCUCGAGGCCGGGAGAGGUGAGAGGUACUUCAGGGGUAGGGGUGAAAUCUUGUAAUCCUUGAAGGACCACCAGUGGCGAAGGCGUCUCACCAGAACGGACCUGACGGCAAGGGACGAAAGCUAGGGGCACGAACC